CAAGCACUGGUCAGAUACCUCCGAGGAUUCACACAGCUCCUUUGCCUGCUAGGGUAAAAUACAUUUAAAGUAAGAUCAGGUAGACCGGAAGUCACUUGAAACUGAGAAGCAGCCUCAAUUCCAAAUCAGGUAGAGGACUUCAGGCAAAAGGAAGAAUGUUCUCUGGGUGAAAAUGAUAGCCAGAAGGCUGAUUACCGUCUCGGCCUAUUUGAUGGGAUCCCUGGUGCUCCUGGGUUCAGACCAAGAGGUAUUUUGUCUCAGCAAUGAGAGAAAAGUAACACAGAAUUUUAUGGAGUGAGGUCAUUGCUGGGACUACACCUGACCAUGUGGCUCAAGAACCUUUGGAAA